GGGGAUAUAGCUCAGUGGGUAGAGUGCUUGCCUAGCAUGCACAAGGCCCUGGGUUCAAUCCCUAGCACCUCCA
rnacentral:tRNA from 1 species